CACGUAGGGGGCGAGCGUUGUUCGGAAUCAUUGGGCGUAAAGGGCGCGCAGGCGGCCCGGUAAGUCUGGUGUAAAAUGGUCGUGCUCAACACGAUCAUGCGCUGGAAACCGUCGGGCUAGAGUCAACGAGGGGAUACCAGAAUUCCAGGUGUAGGGGUGAAAUCUGUAGAUAUCUGGAAGAACACCGAUGGCGAAGGCAGGCAUCUGGCGACUGACUGACGCUGAGGCGCGAAGGUGCGGGGAGCAAACA
rnacentral:rRNA from 1 species